rnacentral:rRNA from 1 species
GAAUCUACCAAAAGGACUGGGACAACCACUGGAAACGGUGGCUAAUACCGGAUGAGCCGCAACGUAAAAGAGGAAACUCGCCUUUUGAAGAGCUCGCGUCUGAUUAGCUAGUUGGUGAGGUAAAGGCUCACCAAGGCGGCGAUCAGUAGCUGGUCUGAGAGGAUGAUCAGCCACACUGGGACUGAGACACGGCCCAGACUCCUACGGGAGGCAGCAGUGGGGAAUUUUCCGCAAUGGGCGAAAGCCUGACGGAGCAAGACCGCGUGAGGGAGGAAGGCUCUUGGGUUGUAAACCUCUUUUGUCAGGGAAGAACACAAUGACGGUACCUGAAGAAUCAGCAUCGGCUAACUCCGUGCCAGCAGCCGCGGUAAUACGGAGGAUGCAAGCGUUAUCCGGAAUUAUUGGGCGUAAAGCGUCCGCAGGUGGCACUUCAAGUCUGCUGUCAAAGACCGGGGCUUAACCCUGGAAAGGCAGUGGAAACUGAAGCGCUAGAGUGUGGCAGGGGUAGAGGGAAUUCCCGGUGUAGCGGUGAAAUGCGUAGAGAUCGGGAAGAACAUCGGUGGCGAAAGCGCUCUACUGGGCCACAACUGACACUCAGGGACGAAAGCUAGGGGAGCG